ensembl:lncRNA
CACCACAUCCAAACAGUUUUUAAACACGUUCAGGGGUGAUGACUCAACCACAUCCCUGGGGUGCCUAUUCCAGUGCUUAACAACCCUUUCUGUAAAGAAGUUUUUCAUAAUAUCCAACCUAAAUCUCCCCUGGUGCAACUUGAGGCCAUUUCCCUUGUCCUGUAUUUGCAGUAACAAUGGGCAAUGAAUGUAAUUCAAGACAGAAGAUACCCUCAGAAUAUGAAAAGAUCUGUAAACUCAGAAAGGCUUUUUUUUAUUUUCUUUUUUUUCCCCUGAAGGUCAGAAUUGCCUCAUGUCUAAAAGUGUUCUUUUGAAGACUGUUAAUUCAAACUGUCACAUUGGCUUAAAUAAAUUACUUUGAUGUGGACAGUUUUAUUUUCCAAAAGGCAGUUACUGAGAGAUGUAUUCUUUGCCUCCAUAGAUGAGAACAUUUUUCCCACAUAGACCAUUGCUGAUGUUUAUAGAUGAAUAAUUGUACUAAUUUUUCAGAAAGUUGAUACUUAAUUAUUUCAGAUACUGGAUAUUGUCAUGCAGACUAAUUGCAUAAAACUCUCAACAAUUUCUAUGUAGAAUUAAACAUAACUGAGAUUUAAUUUGGUUUGGUAUAUUUUUCAAUUGCUAUCCUCCAUAAAAACAAAAAAUGUCCUGUACAAGAAAAGUUAAGCAUACAUAUACUAAUAAUUUAUAAUCUCUGAAACAAAUCUUAUACUUUAAAAUAAAUAACAUUAAAAGUAAUAGUUACUCUUUUUAUCACUCUAUGGUGGUAAAUCUUUAGCUUUCUUGAGUAUUGUUUGUGAUAUAAUAUCUUCUAUUUUCAGUCCUUUCUCAAUUGCGUCUCAGUUUUAGGUUUUAGGGAAGAGCUCAAUGGCUGUGGUAUCAACAGAGUAGAUAAAAUGUGUAGUUUUCAGAUUAAAUAUAGAACUGAUUUAAUUUUGUGAUGUAUGGUUGUAGCUGUGCCUCAUGAUCUGCUCUUAACACACAGUAUUGUCAUGGUAAUUUGGCCGUGAUCUUAGGCUGACUGAAGGCAAUCAUAAAACAUCAACUUCAGAGAACUCUCUAAACAAAGGACAACUUCUAUGACAUGACAGUAAGAAUCAAAAAUCAUGAAUUUCUGUCUAGUAAACAAAGAAAGUGGUGAGAGGGGCUGAUCUCCUCAAGAACCUGGAAAAUAAUAUUUUACUAACUACAAAACUGAAGCAUUCAAAAGCCAUGAGUGCAAAAAUCUGAAAAGUUGCAUAAACAAUACUGACUUCUAAAUAAAUUGUUAAAUAAAUCUCAAAUGAUUUUUAUUUCUUUCCCUUUACUGUACUACCAAGAUACACAUGAAUCAAAUUUGUAAGCUCUGCCAACAGGAGGAACUGAACAUUUGAUUGUUUUUUCUUAUUGCUACUGAAAUUUGAAAUUUCCACCCAAUCUCUCAAACCUGGCUGGUAUCACUUUAAAACACACACAAAAUACAGUGUUCAUCAUCAGGUUUCAAAAAUUGCCAGAUUCGGGGUACUUGGAUGGGUCUGAGAAAUCCAGUAAUCAGGUAAUGGUCUGGACUAGAAUGAAUGUCUGACUAUUCUGAAACAGUAAUGUUGGGAAAUGACAUGGGAAACAUCUAGGAGCUUUUGAAGGGAGGUCAGAUACUAAGAAACAUAAAGCCUUCAGGAGUUUCUUCUUGUCCAGCUAGCUGUUUCCAAGUAGAUGAGAAUGCACAUGUGCAAAUGUUGUUUCAGAAAAGUCCUCCUAGGCCCUCUUAAGGAGGAAAACUCAAAGACUACAUGACUGCACUCAAAUACCAAGGUAUAGCGUUUGUCUGUUUACAGUCCUAUUGAGUCAGGUACUAGGUUUUGACUCAGACGAUACAGUGCAGUAUUAGUCUAGCACUAUUUUAAAGCCUAUAAGCUCAACUGAAGGAUAUGAAAGUUCUAAUAAGAAUGGUUUUAUCUAUUUUACUCUUGAAAUUCAGUUACAGAAGUGUUUUGUAGGAUGUGUUUCUUUUAUGUGUACAUAAUGGGCGUCUCAGACAUUCUAAAUAUUGCAUCCAUAAAUGUCUGCCAGCAGCAUGAGUACACUGGUCUGGAGGUAGAAUCUAAGCUGCUCAGCAAAGUGUUAACAGUAUGUGAAUGAAAAACCGUUAUUUAUUUAUUUAUUUAUUUAUUUAUUUAUUUAUUUAUUUUACAUCGGCAAAUCUUUGACUUUGACUGGAGAGAUUCUAAAAGACAAUCAUGUUAUCGCUAUUGCAGUUUUUUUCUGAUUCACUAUUUAAAAAAUCCAAGCUGCAUAGCAGAUUUCUGUAAUCUUAUAUUUUAGACAUAAAGACAUUUGGUAUUUUUUCCUAGGUAUAUUUAACUCAAGGUCUAAAAUAAAUGUGUACUCACAUGCAUACAC